GCAAGUCGAACGAACUCUGGUAUUGAUUGGUGCUUGCAUCAUGAUUUACAUUUGAGUGAGUGGCGAACUGGUGAGUAACACGUGGGAAACCUGCCCAGAAGCGGGGGAUAACACCUGGAAACAGAUGCUAAUACCGCAUAACAACUUGGACCGCAUGGUCCGAGUUUGAAAGAUGGCUUCGGCUAUCACUUCUGGAUGGUCCCGCGGCGUAUUAGCUAGAUGGUGAGGUAACGGCUCACCAUGGCAAUGAUACGUAGCCGACCUGAGAGGGUAAUCGGCCACAUUGGGACUGAGACACGGCCCAAACUCCUACGGGAGGCAGCAGUAGGGAAUCUUCCACAAUGGACGAAAGUCUGAUGGAGCAACGCCGCGUGAGUGAAGAAGGGUUUCGGCUCGUAAAACUCUGUUGUUAAAGAAGAACAUAUCUGAGAGUAACUGUUCAGGUAUUGACGGUAUUUAACCAGAAAGCCACGGCUAACUACGUGCCAGCAGCCGCGGUAAUACGUAGGUGGCAAGCGUUGUCCGGAUUUAUUGGGCGUAAAGCGAGCGCAGGCGGUUUUUUAAGUCUGAUGUGAAAGCCUUCGGCUCAACCGAAGAAGUGCAUCGGAAACUGGGAAACUUGAGUGCAGAAGAGGACAGUGGAACUCCAUGUGUAGCGGUGAAAUGCGUAGAUAUAUGGAAGAACACCAGUGGCGAAGGCGGCUGUCUGGUCUGUAACUGACGCUGAGGCUCGAAAGUAUGGGUAGCAAACAGGAUUAGAUACCCUGGUAGUCCAUACCGUAAACGAUGAAUGCUAAGUGUUGGAGGGUUUCCGCCCUUCAGUGCUGCAGCUAACGCAUUAAGCAUUCCGCCUGGGGAGUACGGCCGCAAGGCUGAAACUCAAAGGAAUUGACGGGGGCCCGCACAAGCGGUGGAGCAUGUGGUUUAAUUCGAAGCUACGCGAAGAACCUUACCAGGUCUUGACAUACUAUGCAAAUCUAAGAGAUUAGACGUUCCCUUCGGGGACAUGGAUACAGGUGGUGCAUGGUUGUCGUCAGCUCGUGUCGUGAGAUGUUGGGUUAAGUCCCGCAACGAGCGCAACCCUUAUUAUCAGUUGCCAGCAUUAAGUUGGGCACUCUGGUGAGACUGCCGGUGACAAACCGGAGGAAGGUGGGGAUGACGUCAAAUCAUCAUGCCCCUUAUGACCUGGGCUACACACGUGCUACAAUGGAUGGUACAACGAGUUGCGAACUCGCGAGAGUAAGCUAAUCUCUUAAAGCCAUUCUCAGUUCGGAUUGUAGGCUGCAACUCGCCUACAUGAAGUCGGAAUCGCUAGUAAUCGCGGAUCAGCAUGCCGCGGUGAAUACGUUCCCGGGCCUUGUACACACCGCCCGUCACACCAUGAGAGUUUGUAACACCCAAAGUCGGUGGGGUAACCUUUUAGGAACCAGCCGCCUAAGGU
rnacentral:rRNA from 1 species